rnacentral:lncRNA from 1 species
CAGGAUAUGGCUUGUUUAGUAUAAAAAAUAAAUUAUAUAUAUUGAACGUACGUUCGUACUUGCUUUUCGCAAUACGUAAUUUUUUUUUUGCAGGCGGAGGACGGAUGAGCUCUUUCGCCGAUACACAAGGCUUGCCGGUGUCUUCGCCACGUGGCCAUUAAUCAGCAGGACGGCGGGAUAGAGGAGGCCGCAUGGGCCACAUGAAGCGAGGCUGAAUAUUUGAGCCAUAUCCGGCAUAUACUACUGGCGGCACAAGGCCAUCCCUGCAUCUGACUGCCGGCGAAACUGAACAACGAAGACACAGACGAAAAUCUGCGCGUGACCCUCUGCACUGCCUCAUCGACUGAUCGGAUUUACGACACACUGGAACCAUCAAGACAUCAUCUUCGCGACCCGUUGUGUGACAUCAUCAACAACUCAUACUAUCAAUACGACGGCGUGCACGAUUCCGGCAUCGGCUACGGCAGUACAGCAGCGAACAUUUCGUGGUCCCCAAACCCACUCGUUUAUCUUCAGGUGAGAAAGAAUUUUAGAAAACGUUUUCUUAGUGACAUCAUGUUUCUUGUGUUGCUAAAGUGCCCCCCACCGAUAAGUGAUUUAGUUAGCGCAUAUGUGACACCUGCAGAAAAUCUAUUGCUUGCUUGUGAUACUGAAAGAAACCCCGAGCCAAACACGCAGGAGAUUUCAUCGGAGAUGCAUUGUGUGGCGGCGGACCUAACACUAUCAAUAUUUUUUUAAAAGCUAUAAUUUUUUAUGAGCAAUUUCUACUUUCAUAAUUUCUACUUCCUAAAAAGUCAGUGCGUGUCACACGCAGCAAGCCAGAUGAAGCAAUGAAGUACAAAAAUCCGAGCACGAAAGCUAAUGUAUAUCUUGAAAAUAGUUUGAUUAAGCGGCCAAUAAAUAUGAAUACCUUCGAAUGUGAACAGCAAACCUAAUAUAUAUGUACUACGUUACGACGGCUCAAUCACGUUUACCACAAUUAUUACGUGGUCACACACUGAAAUCACUCAAAACGCUUGUUCUCUUUUCAUAAUUUUCGAUUGCAAUAUGCAAAGGUAAUGAAAAUGAUGAACUUACCUUCGAAGAUAG